CAACUUACGUCUACAAGUCGCCUCCUCCACCUACGCCAACCUAUGUCUAUAAAUCUCCACCGCCACCAACCCCGACUUAUGUUUACAAGUCACCACCACCUCCGACUCCGACAUACAUUUACAAGUCUCCACCACCUCCUACUCCGACUUAUGUCUACAAGUCACCACCUCCACCAACCCCUACAUAUGUCUAUAAGUCACCACCUCCACCCACUCCGACCUACGUCUACAAGUCACCACCACCUCCAACUCACACUCCUACACCAUACUACUACCAUUCUCCACCACCACCAGUAAAAUCCCCUCCACCUCCUUAUUACUACCACUCACCACCACCACCGGUUAAAUCUCCACCACCACCAUACUACUAUCAUUCACCACCUCCUCUGGUGAAGUCUCCUCCACCACCAUACUAUUACCAUUCACCACCACCUCCAGUAAAAUCUCCUCCCCCCCCAUACUACUAUCACUCCCCACCUCCUCCAGUGAAGUCUCCUCCGCCACCUUACUAUUAUCACUCCCCACCUCCUCCAGUAAAAUCACCACCACCACCAUAUUAUUACCACUCUCCACCUCCUCCCGUGAAAUCCCCCCCACCUCCAUACUACUACCACUCACCACCCCCUCCGGUAAAAUCACCCCCACCACCAUAUUACUAUCACUCCCCACCUCCACCAGUGAAAUCCCCACCACCACCGUACUACUACCAUUCUCCACCCCCACCGGUAAAAUCUCCGCCACCACCAUACUAUUACCACUCCCCACCUCCUCCGGUGAAAUCUCUACCACCACCGUACUAUUACCAUUCACCACCUCCUCCGGUGAAAUCUCCUCCUCCACCAUACUACUAUCACUCACCUCCUCCACCAGUAAAAUCUCCUCCGCCACCGUACUAUUACCACUCUCCACCUCCUCCAGUGAAGUCGCCUCCACCUCCUUAUUACUACCACUCACCUCCUCCUCCGGUGAAAUCCCCACCACCACCAUAUUAUUACCACUCACCACCCCCACCCGUCAAAUCUCCUCCACCUCCAUAUUAUUACCACUCACCACCUCCUCCGGUGAAAUCUCCACCACCACCAUAUUAUUACCACUCACCUCCUCCUCCGGUGAAAUCUCCACCACCACCAUAUUACUACCAUUCACCUCCCCCUCCAGUCAAAUCUCCACCACCACCAUAUUACUACCAUUCACCUCCCCCUCCAGUGAAAUCCCCACCACCACCAUAUUACUACCAUUCACCACCUCCUCCAGUGAAAUCUCCACCACCACCAUACUACUACAACUCUCCACCACCACCAGUAAAAUCUCCCCCACCUCCCGUCUACAUCUACGCUUCUCCCCCACCUCCUACCCAUUACUAGGCUCGUCAAAUUCAACCAAGUUUCCCCAUUAUUCAAGUAAGUCCCAAGGCUCCAAUAUUCUAAGUAUGCUCCAUAUC
rnacentral:lncRNA from 1 species